ensembl:miRNA
UGUCUUACUCAAGGUCAUAGAAAGACAUAGUUGCAAGAUGGGAUUAGAAACCAUAUGUCUCAUCAGCACCCUAUGUUCUUUCUGUGCCCUGGGAGCACACUCCAUUUAGCAG